UUGAACGCUGGCGGCAUGCCUUACACAUGCAAGUCGAACGGCAGCAUGAUCUAGCUUGCUAGAUUGAUGGCGCGUGGCGAACGGGUGAGUAAUACAUCGGAACGUGCCCUGUAGUGGGGGAUAACUAGUCGAAAGAUUAGCUAAUACCGCAUACGACCUGAGGGUGAAAGUGGGGGACCGCAAGGCCUCAUGCUAUAGGAGCGGCCGAUGUCUGAUUAGCUAGUUGGUGAGGUAAAGGCUCACCAAGGCGACGAUCAGUAGCUGGUCUGAGAGGACGAUCAGCCACACUGGGACUGAGACACGGCCCAGACUCCUACGGGAGGCAGCAGUGGGGAAUUUUGGACAAUGGGCGAAAGCCUGAUCCAGCAAUGCCGCGUGUGUGAAGAAGGCCUUCGGGUUGUAAAGCACUUUUGUCCGGAAAGAAAUGGCUCUGGUUAAUACCUGGGGUCGAUGACGGUACCGGAAGAAUAAGGACCGGCUAACUACGUG
rnacentral:rRNA from 1 species